CAGCUUUUUCAUCCUUCAAACAUAAUAGCCAGUCUACAGAGAACAAAUUAAAAAAAGGAAAAUUGAAGCCCUAAUUGCAGAUGCAGUGAAAUCCCAGAGUCGAAUUCAAUUUGCAAAAUCCGCGUGGGGUACCAAUUCCUAGCUAAUAGUUGAGCUCUCUUCUGGUAUUAUUAUUAGUAUUUUUAUCAUCUCUUUUGUGAAGAAAAAUGGAAUAUGUCGAUAGCUAGGAUACCUGACCGCAGAUGUAGGGAGGCUUUACUAGCCAACCGAACAGCGUAACCAAAGUCAUCUCCUGUGGGCAACUAGGGAAGGAGGGAAUUUUACAUACUAAAGUAUGACUUCUGGAACCAAAUCUUUGAAAGAUUAUUUGAAAAGGUAUGAAAGUAAGGAUGAUGAAGAAAAUAAAAAGAAAAGGAAGAAGAAGAAGCAGAAAGUUAAAGUUGAUGGACCUGGAGUUCUAGUCGUGGAUGAAGAUCCUGUUUGGCAGAAACCCAUAAAACUCGAUGAAGAAGAAGAUAAUGAUUCUGCUGAUGAAGAAAAACCUCAAGUUGAUGAAGAUAUAGAAGUUAAGCGAAUGAAGAGGCUGGAGCAUCUCAGGUUGAGACGGGGUUAUAAUGUUAUAGCUGAGGAUGGUAGUGGAUGGGUUUCACUUGCCUCCAACGGUGAAAAUGUUGGUGAUAUUUCUCCACCUCGUAGACGGAGGGCACGAAAUGACACACCAUCACCUGAACCUGGAGAGAGGGAUUUCGAUGCUGGUAGGAAACAUGCUGAUUUAUCACCUCCAAGGCAGCGACGGAGACAUCACAGGACACAAUCACCUGAUGCGAAUCCUGAUUCCUCACCUCCUCAUAAGCAGAAGGCUCGAAAUGAUACACCUUCACCAGAUCCAGCAAUGAAAGAUGAUGAUUUGUCACCUCCUCGCAAGUGGAAAGCUCAAAAUGAUACACCUCCACCAGACCCAUCAAUGACGAAUGAUGAUUUGUCACCUCCUCGUAAGCAGAAGGCUCGAAAUGAUACACUGUCACCAGACCCAUCAAUGAAAGAUGCUGAUUUAUUGCCUCGACAGCGUAGGCAAAAUCGACAUUACACCCCAUCUCCAGAACGUCCCCAUGAUUCUAAUACGUCCCCUCCUUGUCGAUCUCAUGCUCGAAAUUCAGAAUUCUCUGGGAGGAAAUUUGAAGCACCUGAUGCACAUACUUUCCUCGGGUCAGAUCUUUCACCUCCUAGGAAAAACAGGGCAAAUAUUGAGAAAUCAGGGUCGCCGGAUCUUUCUCCUCCACGGUUGCCUAGGCGUUCAAGUUCAACUGCAGAUGGUAUUUCACGUGCAUAUUCGGAUAAAGAUGCUUCAGUAACAAGGAAAACCCAGAAGGAUUCAUCUGAUCCAAUAUCCUUAAAGGAGCGGCCAAAGACUGGUUUGAUCACUGGCCAUGAUAUCCAAGAAGAGAUAUCAAAAACUAAGAAGAAUGAUUUGCUGAGGUUUGAACAGAUGGAUCCUUCUAUGAGUGGACGAGGUGCUGAAGCUGUAUAUCGUGAUAAGAAAGGACAGCGAAUAUCGAAGGAGGAGUAUUUGAAAUCGAAGCAAAAAGUAGAAGAAAAGCCUAAGGAGAAGAAGUUAGAAUGGGGUAAGGGCUUGGCUCAAAAGCGGGAAGCUGAGGCUAGAUUGCAAGAAUUAGAGCUUGAGAAGGAAAAGCCAUUUGCAAGGACCAGAGAUGAUCCUGAGCUUGAUAAAAUGCUGAAGGAAAGACUAAGAUGGGGUGAUCCUAUGGCACAUUUAGUCAAGAAAAAGCAUCCUGAACCAGUUCUUGCUGAUCUAGGGGACAGCGAGAAGAUGAAGGAAUCAGGGUUUAUAGUUCCCCAGGAGAUUCCUAAUCACAGCUGGAUAAAAAGAGGAUUAGAUGCUGCCCCAAAUCGAUAUGGUAUAAAGCCAGGAAGACACUGGGAUGGGGUUGAUCGGAGUAAUGGAUUUGAGAAAAAAAUGUUCCAGAGGUUGAAUGAAAAACAGGCUACAGAAAAGGAAGCAUAUCUUUGGUCUGUGUCUGAUAUGUAACUAGAGAUGUGGACCAAGAAUAUGAUAUACUAUUUCGGCUUGGUGGAAGCAAUGAGGAUUUUGUACUUGUAUGCUAGCAGAAGGUCCCUCAUGACUGUAUUAGCAGCUGCUAGUGCUUAAUUGAAAACUUGGUGGCUUUUCCUAUGCUGGGUAGAAACAGAUCCAUGAAAGUUAAUUUGAAAAUUUGGAACUGUGGAAAGCUUGCAAUUUCUAUCCAGGUCUGUUCAAAAUGAGAUUUCUCAUGCUUGCAAGUUAUCAGAGUGAGCUAAUGGUGUAUGGAGAUCUUGCAAAUCCAAAGCUAUUCGCAUGUGGAGGACAAAGAAUUGAGUGACAUCCGAUCAUCAAGGAUGGAGCUGAGGGGUGAGACUUUUUAUGAUAUACCUUACUGCACUGGAUGUGAGUGGAAGAAGUCUUGUGCUCCUGGAACUGUGUUUUGAGCAAUGUCUUGAUAUCAAAUUACCUGGAGAUAGUUCUUGCUUGAGAUGGUCAUAAACUGGAAUCUAGCUUCCCAAAAAAGAAACCUCUUGGCUAGUCGGUCAAGAAAAUUCAUGCAUUGGCAAGUUUUGGUGACUUUUGUUGGGGCCAAUGCCUGUGUGCAGUGUUUGUAAUAUGGCUAGUUUCAUGUUGUUCAGCGAAUUUAGAUGAAAUAUGAUUUUUAGUCAAAGUAAGAGUGUAACAGAAUAUUAAGGGGAAAAAAGGGGGAGUUUUUGGACUGGCUGAAAGCUUCUCCCAAAAGAGAACUAAAAAAUUUCACCUACACCCUGCUAAAACCAUACCUUUUCAUUUUCUUUAUCAAAUUUUUGCAGUAUUUUAUCAAACUAAAACUGUACCUGGAAAGCAGAGUUUUCUUAUAUUCAUGUACUUGGGUUGGAUUGUA